GCCUCUGUAGCUCAGUUGGUAGAGCGCUGGUCUGAAAAUCCUGUUGUCGCAAGUUCGAUUCUUGCCGGAGGCACCA
rnacentral:tRNA from 1 species